CACCCACUUUUCACAAUUUAUGUUGUAAGUCCCAUGUAAUAGGUGAGCCUAUUGCCAUACAUCGGACACAUUUCUAGAUUCCAUGCUAUUACUGAGAAAUUUUCGAAAAACCGAAAAAAGCCCAGCAAUAAUUCGCCCAACCCGGGUAUUGCCCUAGCUUGCCCAGUAAUCGCACUUGCAACCACUCGGCCAAGGAGGCAGUCAUUAUUUCAAUAUAAGAUUAAGUGAGAUUAUAUUUUACACUUAUAAGAUUAAUACUGAGACAAAUGAUGUUGAUGAAGUUUCAUGUUAUCUAUGUCUUGAAUAUGUUUCCAAAGUCUGAUUGUUUUUCAUUUUGUAUUUGAUUAGUAUAAGUCUAAGUACAAGUGUACCUAUUAACUUGUGAUAUCUGAUCUCUACUAGGUAUACUUAAAAGUAUUGCCUUUCCAUGUUCCGUACCAAAAUGGCAAAACUGUUGGGCCUACAUAGUUGAAACUUUGUAGGUUGAUGUAUUCUGGUAACCGCUAUUUGGAUUUCGAAUAAAAAUUAAUAAAUUAAAAGGGGCACCCCAUACAUGGAAAUGAUUCAAAAAGUUUUAACCUAUUCGUGAUGGGUGUCUAUCGAUAAUACUUUAAAAAAGACAUUAAGGUUCCUAAAACCAAUUUUCGUUAAAAUCAAUUGUUUGAAAGAUAGACGUUUCCAAAGUAGAAAAAUGAGUGCCCCCUCUCUAACAUUUAAAAUAUGGGAGGGACAAAACUAAAAAAAAAAAAUAUAUGCUGUAAAUUUCAUUUGAAACUUUCAAAGAAAAUUGGUUUGAACGAGAUAUCAUUAUUACUUUUUCAGAAAUAAUACUAAUAGAACUCGUCCGUGAACGGUGGCGGUGUGUCCUGUAUGGGCUGAGCACCGCCAAGUCCUCAGGGAUGUGGUCGGCGACGGUGACCUCUCGCGCCCGUCACUGGUUCAGGCCAUGGUGCGGAGCGAGGGGGACUGGGAUGCCGUCUCCACCUUUUGCGAAGCAGUCAUGCUAGCUACGGAGAAGGCGGGGCGCGUGAGAGAACAAACCUCCUCACGUCCCAGCCGUCGCGUGAGACACUCCGGGCGUCGGGGAUCGCGGGACGAUCUCCGGCCACCGUAAGUGCGGGUCUGCGGACGGCGAGCAAGGGUAGCUCGCCGCCCGACCAGAACCAGACCCGUGCGUGCGGAUCGGAUCAUCUUGAGCUUCUGGGCGUAACUUUAUCGCUUACACUAAACUUCGGCUCUUAUAUAGAGUCGAAGGCGCAUCUGGCUGGUAGAAAGUUGGGUAUCCUCUGGUGGGUGAGACGGUACUUCACACCGAAACAACUGCUGAGCCUGUACCAAGCGCAGGUUCGGUCAGGUAUGGAUUACUGUUCUCACCUUUGGGACGGCUCGGCUAAAUACCAGAUCAAAGCGCUAGAAAACAUCGAAAAGCGUGCCAAGAAGCUCAUCAAUGAUGAUGCGCUUGUAGAGGCCCGGCUUCAAAGCGUCGAACACUGGCGCAAGGUCGCAAGCCUUUCCGUUUUUUACCAGAUACAUUUCGGAGAGUGUGUGGGGGAAUUGCACAACUUGAUUCCCCCGAGUCCUUUCCAUUAUCGAACCACAAGACAAUCGGCGAGGCGUCACCGUUUCAUGGUAGAUAUCCCACCCACUCGCACGAAGCGCUUCACUCCAAGCUUCCAUGUGCGAACUGUUAGAGAGUGGGAUUCUUUGCCGGAGUCUGUGUUUCCUGAU